AUUGAACGCUGGCGGCAGGCCUAACACAUGCAAGUCGAACGAGUGUCGCACGGGUGAGUAUAGUCUGGGAAAAAGCCCGAUGGAGGGGGAUAACUACAGUAAACAGUAGCUAAUAUCCCGUAUCCUCGGAGAUGUCCAGAGGGGAUUAGCUUGUAGGUGUGGUAACGGCUCACCUAGGCGACGAUCCAUAGCUGGUCUGAGAGGAUGACCAGAAAAAUUGGAAUUUAGCCACGGUCCAGACGCCUCCGGGAGGCAGCAGUGGGGAAUAUUGCACAAUGGGCGCAAUCCUGAUGCAGCCAUGCCGCGGUUAUGAAGAAGGCCUUCGGGUUGUAAAGUACUUUCAGCGGGGAGGCGUUACCCGAAGAAGAAGCACCGGCUAACUCCGUGCCAGCAGCCGCGGUAAUAC
rnacentral:rRNA from 1 species